AACGAACGCUGGCGGCAUGCCUAACACAUGCCAGUCGAACGAGACCUUCGGGUCUAGUGGCGCACGGGUGCGUAACGCGUGGGAACCUGCCCUUAGGUUCGGAAUAACUCCCCGAAAGGGGUGCUAAUACCGGAUAAUGUCUUCGGACCAAAGAUUUAUCGCCUUUGGAUGGGCCCGCGUUGGAUUAGCUAGUUGGUAGGGUAAAAGCCUACCAAGGCGACGAUCCAUAGCUGGUCUGAGAGGAUGAUCAGCCACACUGGGACUGAGACACGGCCCAGACUCCUACGGGAGGCGGCAGUGGGGAAUAUUGGACAAUGGGCGAAAGCCUGAUCCAGCAAUGCCGCGUGAGUGAUGAAGGCCUUAGGGUUGUAAAGCUCUUUUACCCGGGAUGAUAAUGACAGUACCGGGAGAAUAAGCUCCGGCUAACUCCGUG
rnacentral:rRNA from 1 species